rfam:Spinacia oleracea cultivar SynViroflay scaffold17273.con0004.1, whole genome shotgun sequence.
UGGUGAAUAACAGUGCGAUUCUCCUUGGGCAUACGGACAAUGCACACGCAUAUCAUCUGAUAUGCCAAAGGAGAAUUGCCCUGCUAUUCAUCA